rnacentral:rRNA from 1 species
UCCUACGGGAGGCAGCAGUGGGGAAUUUUGGACAAUGGGCGAAAGCCUGAUCCAGCAAUGCCGCGUGUGUGAAGAAGGCCUUCGGGUUGUAAAGCACUUUUGUCCGGAAAGAAAUGGCUCUGGUUAAUACCUGGGGUCGAUGACGGUACCGGAAGAAUAAGGACCGGCUAACUACGUGCCAGCAGCCGCGGUAAUACGUAGGGUCCAAGUGUUAAUCGGAAUUACUGGGCGUAAAGCGUGCGCAGGCGGUUGUGCAAGACCGAUGUGAAAUCCCCGAGCUUAACUUGGGAAUUGCAUUGGUGACUGCACGGCUAGAGUGUGUCAGAGGGGGGUAGAAUUCCACGUGUAGCAGUGAAAUGCGUAGAGAUGUGGAGGAAUACCGAUGGCGAAGGCAGCCCCCUGGGAUAACACUGACGCUCAUGCACGAAAGCGUGGGGAGCAAACAGGAUUAGAUACCCUGGUAGUCCACGCCCUAAACGAUGUCAACUAGUUGUUGGGGAUUCAUUUCCUUAGUAACGUAGCUAACGCAUGAAGUUGACCGCCUGGGGAGUACGGUCGCAAGAUUAAAACUCAA